rnacentral:piRNA from 1 species
UGCCAUGUCGCUGGCUGGGGCUCC